rnacentral:lncRNA from 1 species
CCUGAGGCACUUUGCGCAUAUGCUACGAAGAAGAUUCCAAACCGUUUGAGAGAUUUGUUCUCCAUUCAUUUAAAAUGGAAUCAAUGAAAACAAACAAACAAACAAACAAACAAAACCCACUACACAAUGAAAAGGUAAUUUCUAAACAGCUAUGUGCAGGCUGAAAUGUUUCUUCUAGAGUUGCAGAGGAGGGUGGACUCAGUGAUCUAGGGAUUUUCAUUCAACACUAUCAUCUACGAACUAAAGUUAUCAGUGUUUAAAUGAACAACACUUCUCCCUUUAUAGUACAAAAUGCACCAGCAGAAGGUGUUGCUUAAUAAUGAUGCUAAUAAUUCUGACAUCUGCAGAUCUUGAAGGCAGAAAGGUACUUUGUUAUCCCAUUUCAGACAUGAGGUAACUGAGCUCAGUGAGACCCAGUCAGAAAGUCAGUGGCAGAGUCAGGACUGGAAUUGAUGUCUCCUGACUCCUAGUCACAUGCUCAAUUCUAGGCCCCUGCUGUCCUUGCCAGAAGUUAAUUAGCUUGUUUCACUAAUCAUAUUUUGAGCAGCUUUCAUUUUCACACAUCUCUCAUGUUUGUGGGUCUCAUUCUUCCACACAGCACCUUUUGCCAGGAUAUUUUCAGCAAGGAUCUUGUAUGCAAAAAACAAGCUAAGAGCAAAUGGCUGAGUUCUUUCCAGAAACUGCAUAAGAUAUUUCAGGAAUAUGCUCCAGUUGCUCUCAGCCAAGAAACUGCCACCACACUACUUAAAAACAGCUUUGUCACACUAAUAUGAGAUGAGUGUUAGCUGGGGAAAGGAUGGAAUCAACCCCAUCAGCAACAGAUCCCAUGCCUACUAUUUUGAACACCUGUGCAGUGACUUUCAGAAAAUUUGUCAUCACCCACUUCAACAGAUGACCUGUUCAAAGAAUUUCCCUGAGGGGCUGGACGAAAGGAAAAGAAAGCAAGUAUAUAGAGCUUAUAGUGAAGAAGAGAUUCUGGAGCACGUCCAGCAUUGUCAAGCACUGAAUUUGAAGUGCUGA